GAUGAACGCUGGCGGUAUGCUUAACACAUGCAAGUCGAACGGACUCUUCGGAGUUAGUGGCGGACGGGUGAGUAACGCGUGAGAAUCUGGCUUUGGGUUCGGGACAACCACUGGAAACGGUGGCUAAUACCGGAUGUGCCGAGAGGUAAAAGAGAAAUUGACUGAAGAUGAGCUCGCGUCUGAUUAGCUAGUUGGUGAGGUAAAGGCUCACCAAGGCAGCGAUCAGUAGCUGGUCUGAGAGGAUGACCAGCCACACUGGGACUGAGACACGGCCCAGACUCCUACGGGAGGCAGCAGUGGGGAAUUUUCCGCAAUGGGCGAAAGCCUGAAGGAGCAAUACCGCGUGAGGGAAGAAGGCUCUUGGGUUGUAAACCUCUUUUCUUAGGGAAGAACAAAAUGACGGUACCUAAGGAAUCAGCAUCGGCUAACUCCGUG
rnacentral:rRNA from 1 species